GUCUCACAGAAGCAGAGCCAUGUGCCCCACACUCCUCAGCCUCCUGAGUCUCGGAUUCUGUGAGAGUCUGAGGAUCUGGGCAGCUGUGGAGAUUAGCCCAGGUCUGGACUCUGGACAUGAAGGGACAGUGUGAAGUCUGUCAGCUGGGAGCUGGGCCCCCAAGUGCCAUUUCAAUCAUGAGAGAGGAGCAAGAGACUGCACCCCACAGACCCCUCUCCUACAAGGUGAAUAUGACAAGCCCUCUUUGUCAGCCUGGCCAAGCCCUGUGGUUCCCUUAGAACAGACUGUGACUCUUCAGUGUCACUUCAGUCCUCCAUUUGUGAUAUUCAGACUGCUCAAAAGAGAUGGGGCCAUUUUGCCCAAGCUCCCGGGAUAUCAUUUCAACACCUUCACCAUUGGGCCAGUGACCAGAAAACAUGCCGGGUCCUACACAUGUCUCUCUCUGUGUGGUCCGAUGUCAGUGACCCCCUGCAGAUUAUGGUCACAGGUAGGAGGGGUCCAGCCCAGCUUGGGAUACCUGUGCCUGCAGGCAAUCCUACCCUAGGUCCACGUGCCAGUGCAGCCAAAGACGUCCUCAGCAUUCCCAGCCAGAACCGAACCAAGGAAAGAGAACCAAGUCUGAGAGUUUAAACUCAGGGUGUUGGAUACAGUAUACUAACGCAUAUAUAUGGAAUUUAGAAAGAUGGUAACAAUAACCCUGUGUACGAGACAGCAAAAGAGACACUGAUGUAUAGAACAGUCUUAUGGACUCUG